UGGCGGCGUGCCUAAUACAUGCAAGUCGAGCGAACGGACGAGAAGCUUGCUUCUCUGAUGUUAGCGGCGGACGGGUGAGUAACACGUGGAUAACCUACCUAUAAGACUGGGAUAACUUCGGGAAACCGGAGCUAAUACCGGAUAAUAUUUUGAACCGCAUGGUUCAAAAGUGAAAGACGGUCUUGCUGUCACUUAUAGAUGGAUCCGCGCUGCAUUAGCUAGUUGGUAAGGUAACGGCUUACCAAGGCAACGAUGCAUAGCCGACCUGAGAGGGUGAUCGGCCACACUGGAACUGAGACACGGUCCAGACUCCUACGGGAGGCAGCAGUAGGGAAUCUUCCGCAAUGGGCGAAAGCCUGACGGAGCAACGCCGCGUGAGUGAUGAAGGUCUUCGGAUCGUAAAACUCUGUUAUUAGGGAAGAACAUAUGUGUAAGUAACUGUGCACAUCUUGACGGUACCUAAUCAGAAAGCCACGGCUAACUACGUGCCAGCAGCCGCGGUAAUACGUAGGUGGCAAGCGUUAUCCGGAAUUAUUGGGCGUAAAGCGCGCGUAGGCGGUUUUUUAAGUCUGAUGUGAAAGCCCACGGCUCAACCGUGGAGGGUCAUUGGAAACUGGAAAACUUGAGUGCAGAAGAGGAAAGUGGAAUUCCAUGUGUAGCGGUGAAAUGCGCAGAGAUAUGGAGGAACACCAGUGGCGAAGGCGACUUUCUGGUCUGUAACUGACGCUGAUGUGCGAAAGC
rnacentral:rRNA from 1 species